AGUUAUAAGAUCGAUCGAAUGCUUUUCUGUGAUAGCGUGCACAGGUAUAAAAUGCGGACGACAGCCAGUCACAAAAUACUCUGUGACUGAGACAUAAACUCACGUUUAUUGAUUCAGAUCGUUUGCUGUCUCAGGCAAAUCUACCCUGCUGUCAAGAUUAGACGGACGUGUUGUGGCCUCUUCACAAACCUUCAGCUCCCGGUAAAGGCAUCAAACCAUUUACAUCGAGACGCGGAUAAUGAUGCAGCAGAGACGAACAGAAAAGGGGAUCGUCCUUUCGACGUUUGUCUAGUUACUCGUGGUUCUUGUGUAUCAGUUUUAUUGGACUGAGUUGUCAAAGCUGAAUCAUGCACGGAUUUCAGCAACUUCACCAUCUGGGGAUAAUAAUGGGGAUGUCCCCUAUACUGUACGUCAGAACAUAUCUGCUGCACGUGACAAAUGGCUCAUCCUAGCAACAGUUGCUGAGAUGAACGACACAAGAGUAACAGGGUGGAGAGUAUUGUUGCUGGAAAGGUCAACCAAAUCAGAAUCUGCUUGCAGGUAAAACAUUGGACAUUGGUAUCCAUGCUCACUGUCAUUUUCUGCUGAAACUGUGCAGUUCUGCAUCGGAUGCCAAUACUCUGAGUGAGUGGUCUUUCCACAGAAACAAAAGUACAUGUAUGAUAACAUCAAUGAUCAAUGUCCUCACUCAAUAGCGACUCUAAUGUCAUUUCCCCUAACUUUUGCCUCGCCACAGACUUGUCUAAACGAAAUGCCGUGUCUCUCUUUAAAUCUAGGUAGUGUUAUGUGAGUGUGUUUUUUGUAAUUUGUAUUAUCAGUGAUUAAGUGAUAAUUGUUAUGGGUCACAAUGUUUAAAGUUUUGAGUGUGGGUUUUGGCACAUAUCUCAAUCUCACAUCAUAUAUGUUCAAUGGCAGUACUAUUUUUAGCGGGACGGCUUUUGAUAGCGCUUCAGAGUUGCCUCCCUUGGCAAUCUUGUUUAUUUACAUCUGUCAUCAUGCCAUUGAGUUUUCCACCGAUUUCGACGGAUUUCUACAAAGUUCUGAGUGGAUAAUGAUACAGCCUAGCAUUGCUAGAAUGCUCGAGAACUGUGUAAAAGCUAUAUAAAGGCUUGUUGUCGUGUUGUGCACGGGACUUUUCAUAUGACUGGAGUUAUACGCAUCUGUCUGCCAUUCAAGACUGACCGUGAACGGUUGCCAUUGUAAACAACCUUCAAUCAGUAUAUCUGCUCUCACUGUAAAUGUCAAGACUCUGGUGAGUCGAUAUCUUAUAUUUGU
rnacentral:lncRNA from 1 species